CCAAUACAGGCGGGACCGGAAGGAGACACAGGGCGCCGCCAUGACAGGUUGGUCCUAAAGGGGACGAGGCAACUUGCCGGUUCUGUAACCGGAAAAAAACGAGGCAGGGACAGCUGACCUGGGCGCCGCCAUGACAGCCUGCACCGGAAAAGGCGGGGCUCUUCUCCCUGACUGAUUUCCCUCCGGCACCGGCCUCGAGAUGCAGGCGGCCCUGGAGGUCACUGCUCGCUACUGUGGCCGGGAGCUGGAGCAAUAUGGCCAGUGUGUGGCGGCCAAGCCUGAGUCAUGGCAGCGGGACUGCCACCACCUUAAGAUGAGUAUCGCUCAAUGCACAUCCUCCCACCCAAUCAUCCGGCAGAUCCGCCAGGCCUGUGCUGAGCCUUUUGAGGCCUUUGAGGAGUGUCUUCGACAGAAUGAGGCAGCAGUGGGCAACUGUGCAGAGCACGUGCGCCGCUUCCUGCAGUGUGCUGACCAGGUGCAGCCACCACGCUCACCCUCGAAUGUGGAGGAGAAGCCACUGAGAAUAACACCAGGACUGUGGAGGAGCAGUGCACGGUGCUGUUGAGAAAAAGGGGUAAAUGCAGACCAGAAAAUGAAGACCAGAACAACCCCAAGCAUCUGUACCCAGCAGAGCACAAGUCCCAUGGAACCAGGCCCAGGCAAACGUUAAGAAUUCUCUAAACUGCCUGCAGUCUUGAGGACACCCUUCUUUUCUUCUAUGUGGUGGUGAAACCGAAAAUCCUAAUUAUUCCAUGAUCAGUGCUUUUGUCAAGAGGAUACUGAGCUUGAUGUCAUCACAUUGGACUGACACCAGGAAUUAGUGCUAUGUGGGCUUGCUGAGCCGCGCGUCAAAGCAGAUUUUACGUAAUGAAGUAAAAGCGAUCAAGUAAAAAAAAAUCUCAUUAAAUGCUUCUGUGAAUUUUGAGGAAAUGGAAAUGUGACCAAAAUGCACAUUAUGAACACCUUGAUGUCACAGGUAAGUAAAUUACAUCUCUGUUUUAGCAAUGUUGUACAGAAGAUGUCUAGGAUGUCUGACAAGUAAGGUCUUUUCAUUUUCCUUGCUAAGAAACAGAGACUGAAUGGGAUGGGUUGCAUGCCCGCCAAAUAUGCAGAGAAAUAAGGAAAGUCUAGUUUGUCUUUGGAUAAAGGAUCAGCAAUCUUCUACGUCUUCUGUGAUUGCAUUGCAGUAGUCAUAGGAGUUGAGAAAGUUGAUUGAAACUCCAUUUUUCGAAUCGAAGUGCCUGAGAGCUAGGGGGCACAUUUGUUGUUGCUGCCACGCUGCAGUGGACUAACUAUAGGAAGACUAACUAUAGCAUGAAUAACUAACUACAGGAAGACCUGACAGAAUCGGUUUUGCACCCUCAGGGGCCAACACAUCUGUUUCCAGAAUUUCCCCCUUUUGUUAGCCCACAGGACAUUUGAGCUGCACUAUCUGAAUCUGGAAAUGUGCAAUAUCUGAAUCCUUAAGGGAAGGAUACUGUAUGAUAAUGCCUGCUUGUUUGUGUGGUGUGCCCACCCCAGUUCAGUGGCGGCUAGUUUCCACUAAGCAUUGGUGUCUUUGGGGGAGACCGAAAAGCCCCCAUUUUUGAUAGAUUUAGAAGUCCUCGCCUGUCUUAUCCUGAACUUGUGAGAUUCAGUCUCCGUGGGUGCUUUCAUGUCUGCUCACCGUGCGCGAGCUCACAUUCCUUUCUGCGCAGUUGCUUUCCUAAUCCAGUUAUCCGCAUCCUCCCAUUUGUCAUUCACCUGCCUCAAUCACCGGAUCUGUGUUUCAGUGACAUCUAUGUCAUGCUGGUGUUAUUACAUAAUCAUUCUCAUUUUCAUUGUCUGAACUCCUAGAAAACAGAGUCACGCUACUCAAAGUGCUAAAAGUUAGACUAGUGUGGUCUCUCUAGAGAGCACAACAGUUAACCCACAGUCGAAGACAAACUGUUGGCGCACCUGGGGGGCUCCAUUGCUUGGGCGUCUGACUCUUGAUUUCAGCUCAGGUCAUGAUCUCAAGGUUUGUGGGAUUGGGCCUGG